AUUCCAGCUCCAAUAGCGUAUAUUAAAGUUGUUGCAGUUAAAACGCUCGUAGUCGGAUUUCGGGGCGGGCCGACCGGUCUGCCGAUGGGUAUGCACUGGCCGGCGCGUCCUUCCACCCGGAGACCGCGCCUACUCUUAACUGAGCGGGCGCGGGAGACGGGUCUUUUACUUUGAAAAAAUCAGAGUGUUUCAAGCAGGCAGUCGCUCUUGCAUGGAUUAGCAUGGGAUAAUGAAAUAGGACUCUGGUGCUAUUUUGUUGGUUUCUGUAACUGAAGUAAUGAUUGAUAGGGAUAGUUGGGGGUGCUAGUAUUGAGCGGCCAGAGGUGAAAUUCUUGGAUUCGCUCAAGACUAACUUAUGCGAGAGCAUUCACCAAGGAUGUCUUCAUUA
rnacentral:rRNA from 1 species